rnacentral:rRNA from 1 species
UAGGGAAUCUUCCGCAAUGGGCGAAAGCCUGACGGAGCAACGCCGCGUGAGUGAUGAAGGUCUUCGGAUCGUAAAACUCUGUUAUUAGGGAAGAAUAAAUGUGUAAGUAACUAUGCACGUCUUGACGGUACCUAAUCAGAAAGCCACGGCUAACUACGUGCCAGCAGCCGCGGUAAUACGUAGGUCCCGAGCGUUGUCCGGAUUUAUUGGGCGUAAAGCGAGCGCAGGCGGUUAGAAAAGUCUGAAGUGAAAGGCAGUGGCUCAACCAUUGUAGGCUUUGGAAACUGUUUAACUUGAGUGCAGAAGGGGAGAGUGGAAUUCCAUGUGUAGCGGUGAAAUGCGUAGAUAUAUGGAGGAACACCGGUGGCGAAAGCGGCUCUCUGGUCUGUAACUGACGCUGAGGCUCGAAAGCGUGGGGAGCGAACAGG